rnacentral:tRNA from 1 species
GCCGUCGACGGACGGGUCGAUCUCCGCGGCUACCGCUGGCGGAAAGCACGGCCGGCGGAGGCGGCCGGCCUGUUCGAGUUUGGCUGACGGGGC